GUGAACGCUGGCGGUAGGCCUAACACCUGCCCGUCGAACGGCAGCACCGUAAGAGCUUGCUCUUACGGGUGGCGAGUGGCGGACGGGUGAGGAAUACAUCGGAAUCUACUUUUUCGUGGGGGAUAACGUAGGGAAACUUACGCUAAUACCGCAUACGACCUACGGGUGAAAGCAGGGGAUCUUCGGACCUUGCGCGAUUGAAUGAGCCGAUGUCGGAUUAGCUAGUUGGCGGGGUAAAGGCCCACCAAGGCGACGAUCCGUAGCUGGUCUGAGAGGAUGAUCAGCCACACUGGAACUGAGACACGGUCCAGACUCCUACGGGAGGCAGCAGUGGGGAAUAUUGGACAAUGGGCGCAAGCCUGAUCCAGCCAUACCGCGUGGGUGAAGAAGGCCUUCGGGUUGUAAAGCCCUUUUGUUGGGAAAGAAAAGCAGCAGGUUAAUACCCCGCUGUUCUGACGGUACCCAAAGAAUAAGCACCGGCUAACUUCGUG
rnacentral:rRNA from 1 species